AACCAGCUCUUCAAGUGGUCGGGAUAAUUAUUGGGCUUAAAGUGUCCGUAGCCGGUUUAGUAAGUUCCUGGUAAAAUCGGGUAGCUUAACUAUCUGCAUGCUAGGAAUACUGCUAUACUAGAGGGCGGGAGAGGUCUGAGGUACUACAGGGGUAGGGGUGAAAUCUUAUAAUCCUUGUAGGACCACCAGUGGCGAAGGCGUCAGACUGGAACGCGCCUGACGGUGAGGGACGAAAGCCAGGGGGAGCGAAACCGGAUUAGAUACCCGGGUAGUCCUGGCCGUAAACGAUGCAUACUAGGUGAUGGCACGGCCAUGAGCCAUGUCAGUGCCGUAGGGAAACCGUUAAGUGUGCCGCCUGGGAAGUACGGUCGCAAGGCUAAAACUCAAAGGAAUUGGGCGGGGGAGCACCACGAAGGGUGAAGCCUGCGGUUU
rnacentral:rRNA from 1 species